AUUGAACGCUGGCGGAAUGCUUUACACAUGCAAGUCGAACGGCAGCACGGGGGCAGCCCUGGUGGCGAGUGGCGAACGGGUGAGUAAUACAUCGGAACGUGCCCAGUCGUUGGGGAUAACGUAGCGAAAGUUACGCUAAUACCGCAUACGAUCUGAGGAUGAAAGCGGGGGACCUUCGGGCCUUGCGCGAUCGGAGCGUCCGAUGUCAGAUUAGGUAGUUGGUGGGGUAAAGGCCUACCAAGCCGACGAUCUGUAGCUGGUCUGAGAGGACGACCAGCCACACUGGGACUGAGACACGGCCCAGACUCCUACGGGAGGCAGCAGUGGGGAAUUUUGGACAAUGGGCGCAAGCCUGAUCCAGCCAUUCCGCGUGCAGGACGAAGGCCUUCGGGUUGUAAACUGCUUUUGUACGGAACGAAAAGGAUCUGGCUAAUACCUGGGGCUCAUGACGGUACCGUAAGAAUAAGCACCGGCUAACUACGUG
rnacentral:rRNA from 1 species